UACGUAGGUGACCAGCGUUGUCCGGAUUUAUUGGGCGUAAAGAGCUCGUAGGCGGUCUGUCGCGUCUGCUGUGAAAACUCGGGGCUUAACCCCGGGCCUGCAGUGGGUACGGGCAGACUAGAGUGCGGUAGGGGAGAUCGGAAUUCCUGGUGUAGCGGUGAAAUGCGCAGAUAUCAGGAGGAACACCGGUGGCGAAGGCGGAUCUCUGGGCCGUAACUGACGCUGAGGAGCGAAAGCAUGGGGAGCGAACAGG
rnacentral:rRNA from 1 species